CAGGGUUGAAUUUUCACACGAGGGGUUUUAGCUUUAACGUUAUGCUUUGGAGGUAUUUUGGUUAUGAAGUAUCAGGAAGUGUGUAUGUGUGUGUUUAUGAUCCACUGCUUUGCGAUGCAUCAAGAGACAUUUAGAUUAUGAUGUACUGUACUGGGAGGGGUUUGGUUAUGAUGUACUGUACUGGGAGGGGUUUGGUUAGGAUGUAAUGUACUGGGAGGGGUUUGGUUAUGAUGUAAUAUACUGGGAGGGUUUAGUUAUGAUGUAAUGUACUGGGAGGAGUUUUGAUUAUGAUGUAAUGUACUGGGAGGGUUUUGAUUAUGAUGUAAUGUACUGGGAGGGGUUUAGUUAUGAUGUAAUGUACUGUGAGGAGUUUUGAUUAUGAUGUAAUGUACUGGGAGGGGUUUGGUUAGGAUGUAUUGUACUGGGAGGGGUUUUGAUUAUGAUGUAGGGUACUGGGAGGGGUUUGGUUAUGAUGUAAUGUACUGGGAGGAUUUUGAUUAUGAUGUACUGUACUGGGAGGGGUUUGGUUAUGAUGUAAUGUACUGGGAGGAGUUUGGUUAUGAUGUAAUGUACUGGGAGGGGUUUGGUUAUGAUGUAAUGUACUGGGAGGGGUUUGGUUAUGAUGUAAUGUACUGGGAGGGGUUUGGUUAUGAUUUAAUGUACUGGGAGG
ensembl:lncRNA